rnacentral:lncRNA from 1 species
AGAAGGAGGAUCAUCUGCUGUGGGUGUUCCUGAUCUUUGAGCCAUGAUAAUGUUACUGGUUGGAUGUCAGGAGCAGGCCAUGUGGAUGAUUAAAAGAUGAAUAUCAUAUACAGCAUGGAUAUGUUGGACAAAAAGAUGAUUCACAUCCCAGACAGAAUGGAGCAGCACAUUUAUUAAAAGCCAGAAGCUAGAAGACGAGGAAAGAAGAGGUGGUUAAAGAAAGAUACAGUAACAGCAGUAAUAUCUAACAGGAAGGCUACAGGGGAAAAUACAGAAAUUCCAUAAAGAACAAACACUGUAACUCAAAACCAAAGCUUUGCUAGUCACUAGUGCCCGCUACAUCCUAACAGAGUUGUUAUGUAAAACCUCCCAGCGAAAGAAAUAGUCCAGAAAGCUUGAAGAGAAACUGAAAUUUGAAAAAUCUACCUAAAAAGGUGAUAAAGGAUUUUCAGUUUUGCAAAAAACGCAAUACAGAGUGUCUUUGGAAAGAAAGUUCUCAUAUGGAUUUAAAAUAUGAUUCAAUUUACAGAAGUCAGAGUUGUUCUUCCAGAUGGCAUGAAUCCAACAGUGAAGAAAUCAGAAUACGUUGCUUUUGUGAGGGGCAGCUGCUGAUUUUCUCUGAGCUCCGUUUCCAGCCUUCACAUGCUCUGCUAUUCAUCACAGGGUAAAUUCUGACUAUAGGAGGUACUGACAGAAGAUUAGGGAAGAACAGAGGGCUAAAUGUUUAUUGACUUCUUGAAAAAUGCUAUGUGUCUUGCCAGACUUAGCUUACAAGUUUGGUUAAAGAGAGACUGACAUGAGCAUAAAGGAAGGGACAUUGAAAGAGGCAGAGAUGAAGGAAGAAAUUGUAACUUACUCCUUUUAUCCCACCCAUCAAAGGAAAGACAAGUUGACAAGUAUUGAUUCUGCAACAAACUGAGAAGAAACCUGGCGAUUCACAACAGAGAGCUGAGAAAUCCUAAGUCUGGAUUCCAGCUAAAUGGGAGCAGACUAAAUAGAGCGGCAGUCGGCGAACUACAUGUAGCCCAUGAACAAAAUCCGGUCCAGCACGUGUGUUUUUUUUUACGGCCCACAAAUGAGUCUGUCUUUACAGAUGAAUGUUAAAACUGGGUUGACAAGAGAGAACACUCACUUUGAACCGCAACUAAACAAAAUAUUAUCACCUUUCCCCUCAAAAAAGGUUUUUGUUCUUCUCAUUAGUAAAUUUGUAUUAUGACAAAA